CCCUUAGAUGUUCUGGGCUGCACACGUGCUACACUGGCAGGUUCAGCGAGCUUCAUGCCCUGAUCUGAAAGGAAUGGGAAAUCUUUUCAAAACCUGCCGUGCUUGGGAUAGAUGUUUGCAAUUAUUCAUCUUCAACGAGGACUGCCUUGUAAGCGCACGUCAUCAGCGUGCAUUGAAUACGACCCUGUAUUCUGUACACACCGCCCGUCGCUCCUACCGAUUGAAGUUUUCGGUGAGUUGACAGGAGGAUUUUUUUGAAACUGGUUCGCCAGUGGAUUUUAGAUCCAAAUGCCAACGAAUCGAGGGCUUUAGAGGAAGGAGAAGUCGUAACA
rnacentral:rRNA from 1 species